rnacentral:lncRNA from 1 species
UGAAUACAAAGUGUUAGUCUACAACUUAAUGUAGACACAUACUCAUAAGUCCACAAGUCUUAUGAUUUUCUUUGCUAUUCAUAUUGUGCUUGCACAUCAAGCCGCAAAAGCACAUAAGUUCUUUUCAUAAGAACCAUAAGAGAAAGAGAGCAUCUCAUUUCCUCCAAAUUGAAGAGGUGAAUUCCCAUAUCAUGCAAAAAUGAAAUGAACAUAUCCAACGAACAUUGAGGAUAAUUAAGCCCAUUAGGUGAGUUCAUCAAACUCUAUUAAAUAAUUAUCCUUCAAAUGGGUUAACCAUUUUCUGAUGUUGUAAUAUAACGCAAAAUAUAUCAUAUCUUUAUAUCUUGGAGAAUUCUAGGUAUCACAUAAAGUGUACCAAAGGAUUUUUGAAAAUUGGUGGACACAACGUAGAUAAUCUCCAUGUAAUGAAACAAUGGAGUAGAUCUCCCAGUAGCAGGCAAAACUUUUGCUGCCUGAAAGCAUGGUCUCUGGGCUGAUAUAUUCAAAGAACAUAACGCAGCCAAUGCUUAGGACUCCACUACCCUGUGCUUGACCAAAAUUUCAAAAAUAAAAUGGAAAUCACCAUAAAGGUGAAUAACCAACAUCACAUCUCCAACAUAUCUACUUGGGAGAACACAUAGGUAAUCAUCAUCACCAUAUGAUAUAGACCUCUUACUGAUGGGCAAAUAACAUUUUGCUGUCUAAAAGCUUGGUCUCAGGGCAAAUAAAUUCCAAGAACUUAUUGCAGCUAAAGCCUAGAUCUCCAUCAUGUGUUGAAUAAUCCCAAGUUCAAGAUAUGUGUCAUAUUUUGCAAGAAUUUAUCAUUUAAUUAAGUAGAACUUAAUUAAAAGAACUCUUUGAGUUGCAAGCAUGAUCACAACGUCUAGCCUGGCUCCAUAGCCUGCAAC